rnacentral:rRNA from 1 species
CGACCGGCGCACGGGUGCGUAACGCGUAUGUAACCUACCUUUUACUGGGGGAUAGCCCGGAGAAAUUCGGAUUAACACCGCAUAAUAAGUUUGAGUGGCAUCACUUGGAUUUUAAAUAUUUAUAGGUAAGAGAUGGGCAUGCGUCCAAUUAGUUAGUUGGUGAGGUAACGGCUCACCAAGACGAUGAUUGGUAGGGGUUCUGAGAGGAAGGUCCCCCACACUGGUACUGAGAUACGGACCAG